UAGUUGGAUUUGGGUCGACCGGGCCGCCGGGCCGCCGCCUCCGUGCGGCGAGUUCCCGUGUGUCCCCGGGACCGCACGUUCACCCCCGCAGUGCUCUUAACUGAGUGUCUGCGGUAGCGGGUGACCGAACGUUUACCUUGACAAAACCGGAGUGCUCGAGGCGUGGGCGUUCGCCGCCCGUACGUCCUCGCUGGGAAUAAUGGAAGAGGACCGUUGGUCAAAAAAGGUUUUUUGUCAGAGAGGUUGGAGAGCAAAAAAGUGGUUGUGCUGGUGGGAGGUUACAAAGGGGGGUGACUCCCUUUCUCUCGCUGGUCUUCCUCUUUCUCCUCCUCGAAACCUUCCUCCCCGCGUACCGCACUGUGGAUCGGAUGGCGCUUUAUGGCGGUAAGGGUGGUUCUAGAAAGAAAGGUGAAAGCAGGUGGCCGUUUGCCGGAAGGUGAAAGCUGGAUGGCCGGUCGUCUGUGGAAACCUGGACAUCUUUUUCCCCCUCGCUGUCGUGGCGCUUCCGUACCCUCGGUGUCAGCGGGAGGAGGUCGAAAAUCAAAAUAAAAAAACGUGUCAUGAUUAAGAGGGACGGCCGGGGGCAUUCGUACCGCGGCGCGAGAGGUGAAAUUCUAGGACCGUCGCGAGACGAACGAUAGCGAAAGCAUUUGCCAAGAAUGUUUUCCUUAAUCAAGAACGAAAGUCGGAGGUUCGAAGGCGAUCAGAUACCGCCCUAGUUCCGACCUUAAACCAUGCCGUCCGACCGCCCGCCAGGGUUACUACCGCGACUCGGCGGGCGGUGACUUUCCACCGGGAAACCCUUAAGCUUUCGGGUUCCGGGGGAAGUACGGUCGCAAAGCUGAAACUUAAAGGAAUUGACGGAAGGGCACCACCAGGAGUGGAGCCUGCGGCUUAAUUUGACUCAACACGGGGAACCUCACCCGGCCCGGACACCGCGAGGAUUGACAGAUCGAUAGCUCUUUCUCGAUCCGGUGGGUGGUGGUGCAUGGCCGUUCUUAGUUGGUGGAGCGAUCUGUCUGGUUAAUUCCGAUAACGAACGAGACUCUAGCCGGUUAAGUAGCCCGAGUGGCGUGUUGUUGAUUAAAAAACCGCCCUAGCGGCACUCGGGGCGCUUCUCUGAAGCUGUCUGGCUUUAACUGUGGUGGGACAGGGAGGUGGAAGAUGACGGUCGGGGUCGCGUGUGUCGUGGCUCGGAUCUAGUUUUUUUAACUUCUCUUAAAUCCCGUCGCGUUUCUGCCUUUCACUUCUGAGGACCUCUGUUUGCUUACCUGGGGUAGAUAAAACGUUAACGAGAGUCGGGGGACAGUGGACGUUACU
rnacentral:rRNA from 1 species